rnacentral:rRNA from 1 species
UGCAAGUCGAGCGGUAGAGAGAAGCUUGCUUCUCUUGAGAGCGGCGGACGGGUGAGUAAUGCCUAGGAAUCUGCCUGGUAGUGGGGGAUAACGUUCGGAAACGGACGCUAAUACCGCAUACGUCCUACGGGAGAAAGCAGGGGACCUUCGGGCCUUGCGCUAUCAGAUGAGCCUAGGUCGGAUUAGCUAGUUGGUGAGGUAAUGGCUCACCAAGGCGACGAUCCGUAACUGGUCUGAGAGGAUGAUCAGUCACACUGGAACUGAGACACGGUCCAGACUCCUACGGGAGGCAGCAGUGGGGAAUAUUGGACAAUGGGCGAAAGCCUGAUCCAGCCAUGCCGCGUGUGUGAAGAAGGUCUUCGGAUUGUAAAGCACUUUAAGUUGGGAGGAAGGGCAGUUACCUAAUACGUGAUUGUUUUGACGUUACCGACAGAAUAAGCACCGGCUAACUCUGUGCCAGCAGCCGCGGU